rnacentral:tRNA from 1 species
CGGGGCGUAGCUCAGCCUGGUAGAGCAUCGGCUUCGGGAGCCGAGUGUCGGAGGUUCAAAUCCUCUCGCCCCGA